ACAACAAUAAUAAGUUUCUAAUAAUAAUAAUAAUACCACCACCACCACCCACGUUUUAUAUUUGUGGGUAUGAGGCACGUUGCUCUUCAUUCGAGUUAUAGUCGUUGGUUCAUUCAUUAACUAAGGUCGGUCCUAAUGAUACCUCAAAUACUAUGACCGUUCGAAUUUCACUCAAAUGAAAGCCUUUUCUUUCACAUUCAAUUAACUUUUUUCACUCAUGGCUUCAAAAUUACUUCGACUUUUUAAACAAAUGUAAAAUAACUUUG